CCUACGGGGGGCAGCAGUGGGGGAUAUUGCACAAUGGAGGAAACUCUGAUGCAGCGACGCCGCGUGAGGGAAGACGGUCUUCGGAUUGUAAACCUCUGUCUUUGGGGAAGAAAAUGACGGUUCCCAAAGAGGAAGCUCCGGCUAACCACGUACCAGCAGCCGCGGUAAUACGUGGGGAGCGGGCGUUGUCCGGAAUUACGGGGUGAAAAGGGAGCGUAGGCGGGCGAGAAAGUUGAAUGUUAAAUCUGCCGGCUUAACUGGUAGCUGCGUUCAAAACUUUUUGGCUUGAGUGAAGUAGAGGCAGGCGGAAUUCCUGGUGUAGCGGUGAAAUGCGUAGAUAUUAGGAGGAACACCAGUGGCGAAGGCGACCUGCUGGGCUUUAACUGACGCUGAGGCUCGAAAGCGUGGGGAGCAAACAGGAUUAGAUACCCUAGUAGUC
rnacentral:rRNA from 1 species